AAUCCCCAGGUACGCGGAAGUGACGUCAUGUCUUCGAGCGUAGGCCUACCUGAGCAGCCGGAAGCCCCGUGCUCUCUGUCAGCUGUUGUGUUACUUUCCAUCGGCGUCGUUGAAAGCAGAAUGCAGAAAGAGCAAGGGAGUCAGAAGUGAUGGAUAGUAGUACGCGUGUAGGCAGGCAGGCAGGCAGGCAGGCAGGCAGGGUGCCUUCAGGAGCACCUCUCUCCCCCACUCUCCCCCCCUCCUCCUGCGUCAGCCGCUACAGUAGCCUCCAUUCAUUCAUCGGGAGACCAUCUGGAGGGGAAGGACGCCAGCUCUCCGUGCCUGGGGAGGGAGCACGCGACGUCGCUGUGGCAGGACGAACGUAGGGAGGAAGAACGGGGCGCCUUUGGCAUUCUGUCUGCCGAGCUUAUCACACACGGGUGGAAUUGGACACGGCUCCGUCUGCGAGCCCGUGCAUUUUAGAAGAGUUACCCCGGGAAGAAAAUGGGACUGGAUAUGAGGGAUGGGAGAAAACGGGAACGAGUUUUCGAGCAUAGACAAUAAUAUUGUAGAGACAUUUUUUGAUGUCUGGUUCAAGGACGAGAAACGGGACAACUAUGAAUAUACAAAAAAAAGGAAAUAAACUCGGAAUAGAUCAUGUUUUUGGACGAGAACAAGGAGUGAUGAAGACCGUGAUUUUCUUAUUUUUAUCAAAGAAUUGUUAUAUUAAUUCUAGUGUGUAAAUAUUCUCAACAUAAGAUUUGCUUGUGGCAAUGUUUGUUAGGAUGGUUAGUUUUAAUGGUUAUUGAAACUGUUUCAGAAUUUGUUUUACUUUCCCUCAUUUCAUACCAUAGACACAACGGAAAUUAUAGCGUACAGUGAUUAUAUAUAAAUAAAACAGUUUACAUGUUAUAUUUCGAAUAAUUCGUUUUCUUUUUGCUGGAACGUGAUAGCUUUCCUUUGCGAAGUAAAACAGCCACAGAUUUGAUGUGUUGCCCGAGUUGCCGAUGCGUAAACAGGCAAAAAUAUGACACUGAAUCUUUUUAAUGUAUUGUACAUAUCUAGCGACAGAGUGUAAACCUGGCGAUUCUUUUCCGGAAAAAAAUAUAUGAUCCUUUUUUUUAAAUACUGUAGGUAACGUUUCAAAUAGGUGCUAUUGUUUAUUUUGUAUGCAGUGAGAGGGAACUUGAAUGAACCAACCCGUUAAAGUUAACGUAAAACUGCUACAGGUGAUUCUGUCUUUUAUAUAAUGUCUACUGAAUUGUAUUUAUAUAUUCCACUUGUAUUAUGGUUACACGAUUGUCAUUAUGCAAUGAUCUACUAAUUGGCUUUCACACACCAGAUCCACCCUCCGUCCAUCUUUUCGCAUUGACAGCGCAUUUUUCUCCAGGUUAUUGCACUUGUCAUUGUUGGAACCAUGACGUCAUAGAUAUGAUCAGUUGUGACGUCACCUUUAAUAGUGACGUCACCUUCUUGCAGCGCUGCCAGAUGUAAGCAUGGACAGAGGUGUGUGAUAUCCUUCAUUCUGAAAGAAGAUUUAUAUUAUUGUAUUAAGCUUUUUUGAACGCACCUCGAGGGUCUAUAGGUUUCCAGACGCUCUCCAUUGUUAACGAGAAAAAAUAAAUAUAUAAAUAUACAUAUAAAUAUAUAUAUAUAUAUAUACAUAUACUUGUGAAAAUGAUAAGAGGUUGCGUACUGAUGCAUGAGCCGUGACUGGUAGAGUGUAUGCCAUAGAUAUAAUUGCCGCAGUUGAGAAUAUAUUCCAAUUUCUCCCUCCAGUUUCAUGAUAUAACCAUUAUACUGAGAUUCGACGCAGUUAAAAGUCGUGUUAAAGUCA